rnacentral:rRNA from 1 species
ACAGCAGCCGCCGCGGGAAUACCGAGGGUGCGAGCGUUAAUCGGAUUUACUGGGCGUAAAGCGUGCGUAGGCGGCUUUUUAAGUCGGAUGUGAAAUCCCUGAGCUUAACUUAGGAAUUGCAUUCGAUACUGGGAAGCUAGAGUAUGGGAGAGGAUGGUAGAAUUCCAGGUGUAGCGGUGAAAUGCGUAGAGAUCUGGAGGAAUACCGAUGGCGAAGGCAGCCAUCUGGCCUAAUACUGACGCUGAGGUACGAAAGCAUGGGGAGCAAACAGGAUUAGAUACCCCGGUAGUCCCUGUCUCUUAUAC